rnacentral:rRNA from 1 species
CCUACGGGGGGCAGCAGUAGGGAAUAUUGCUCAAUGGGGGAAACCCUGAAGCAGCAACGCCGCGUGGAGGAUGAAGGUUUUCGGAUUGUAAACUCCUAUUGUUAGAGAAGAAAAUGACGGUAUCUAACGAAUAAGCACCGGCUAACUCCGUGCCAGCAGCCGCGGUAAUACGGAGGGUGCAAGCGUUACGCGGAAUCAUUGGGCGAAAAGAGAGCGUAGGCGGGAUAGAAAGUCAGCGGUAAAAAUUCGGGGCUCAAUCCCGGCGUGCCUUUGAAACUGAUGUUCUUGAGUGGGCGAGAGGUAUGUGGAAUGCGUGGUGUAGCGGUGAAAUGCAUAGAUAUUAGGCAGAACUCCGAUUGCGAAGGCAGCAUACCGGCGUCCAACUGACGCUGAGGCACGAAAGCGUGGGUAUCGAACAGGAUUAGAUACCCGAGUAGUC